AUGUCUCCUGUUACUCUGUAUUUAUUCCUCACAGCUGCAGCUCUUUUAACUGGACAUUGUGGAGGAGAAUCUGUUUCACAGACACUGGCUGCAGUCACACUGAGCGAAGGAGACAGUGUACAGUUGUAUUGUCAUUAUACAACGACAAGCAGCAACCCUGAGAUAUUCUGGUACCGUCAGCAUCCUAGCGGAUCCAUGGAGUAUCUGCAGCAGAGGCAUAGAUACAACGAGAACACAGAACGGUUCCCAGGGGACCGUUUUUCAACGGAUUAUGAUUAUGUGAAUAGCACCGUCCCGCUGAAGGUUUCUAAAACAGAACUGAGAGACUCUGCGGUGUAUCACUGCGCACUGAGGCCCACAGAGACACCGAACUGGGCUGAACCUGUACAAAAACUGUCGCUCAACAUAGCAAUGCCUUAG